rnacentral:misc_RNA from 1 species
GAAAUGCGAUAAGUAAUGUGAAUUCCAGAAUUCAGUGAAUCAUCUAAUCUUUGAACGCACAUUGCGCCCGCCAGCACUCUGGCGGGCAUGCCUGUUCGAGCGUCAUUUCAACCCUCAGAACCCCUUGCGGGAUCUGGCGUUGGGGAUUGGCAUCCAGCCAGCCCCGAAAUCUAGUGGCGGUCCCUCCGCGACCUCCCCUGUGCAGUAGCGAUACCUCGCAGCGGGACAGCGGUCUGACCACGCCGUAAAACCCCCAACUUCUCAAGGUUGACCUCGAAUCAGGUAGGAAUACCCGCUGAACUUAAGC